UACGAAGGGUGCAAGCGUUAUUCGGAAUUACUGGGCGUAAAGGGUGCGUAGGCGGCUCGGUAAGUCUGUCGUGAAAUCCCCGGGCUCAACCUGGGAAUGGCGUUGGAUACUGGCGAGCUAGAGUGUGUCAGAGGAUGGUGGAAUUCCCGGUGUAGCGGUGAAAUGCGUAGAGAUCGGGAGGAACAUCAGUGGCGAAGGCGGCCAUCUGGGACAACACUGACGCUGAAGCACGAAAGCGUGGGGAGCAAACAGG
rnacentral:rRNA from 1 species